rnacentral:lncRNA from 10 species
CAGCUCCUUCUGCUCCUCUAAUCUGGAAGAGCUCCUCCUCCUCUCCCUUUGCCUUUUGUGAUGCUGACAUUGCCGAAGGCUGCAGUAGAAGAAAAGAGGCCAGGCAUGGUGGCUCACGCCUGUAAUCCCAGCAUUUUGGGAGGCCAAGGCUGGUGGAUCACUUGAGGUCAGGAGUUCAAGACCAGCCUGGGCAACAUGGUGAGACCUUGUCUCUAAAAAAUAUAAAAAUUAGCCAGUUGUGGGGGUGUGUUCCUGUGGUCCCAGCUACUUGGGAGGCUGAGGUGAGAGGAUCACCUGAGCCACAGAGGUCAAGGCUGCAGUGAGCCAUGAUCAUGUCACCGCACUCCAGCCUGGGAAACAGAAUGAGACCCAAGAAAAGAAAAGGGGAGGGGAGGGAGAAAGGGAGGGGAGGGAGAAGGGGAGGGGAGGGAGAAGGGGAGGGGAGGGAGAAGGGGAGGGGAGAGGAGGAGAAAGGGAGCAGAGGGGAGAGGAGGAGAAAGGGAGGGGAGGGUAGAGGAGAGAGAGCCAGCAGUAAGGUCAUAAUAGGGACAUGUAUCUGUA